AAAAAGGGCCCAAAUAAGCAUUAUUCUUGGUUUUCGCACAAUAACAUUAGUUUAAGUAAAUAGAAAUCAAUGAAAUUUAAACACAAUGUUAAUGACUACAAAAGGAAGGUUGGUAUUGAUUUUGGGAGUUUAGGUCCCAACAGUUUAGGAAUUAGGGGCCAAAAAGGGACCCAAAUAAGCAUUUUUCUUGGUUUUCGCACCAUAACGUUAGUAUAAGUAAAUAGAAAUCUAUGAAAUUAAA
rnacentral:lncRNA from 1 species